CUUGCUGUGGAGGACGGGAGUCUCUUCGAAUCGCAAGAAAAACACAGCCUACACCGUUCGAAGGAAGCUUUAGGAAUGCCUAGCCUCGCGCUUUGGGCGUUGCCUUUUAUACUCAUCAGAGCGCCGCCUAAAGCCUGGAAGAUUCCUCGGCGUAGUAAGGAGUGACGCGGCACCGCGUCGUCCCUUCCUACAUGACGUCGACUAGCGUCACCCGUCCUUUCCAUUGUGGAGCAACGCGACGUUGCCAAGUUUCAUGAGAAACACCGCCAUUUAGCAGGAGAAAUGUAGGAGCGGAUAUAAUCUGGAAGCUGGACACGAAUAUAUCUCACCAGAAUGAACGCUAUCGGCUAUUUUUAACCGCUUGGAAUUUAGGGAGCUCGUUAGAAUGAUGCGUAAUUAAUACCCCUCUCUAUUUCCUUUCUACUUAUAACACAGGAGAGAUAUUUUCACGAUUAAUGUAUCUGUGUAUGUGUCUUAUGUCUUAAAAAAGAGGUACAACUGUAGUUUCGUUAAUCCGUUGUCUUUUAACAACAAAAAGACGUCCGAUCGCAAAGGAAUGAGUCAAAGUCUGGAAAUAUCUUCGACACAGUACCAUUUACCGAAGGUACUAUUUUUCCCAGUUGGACGAUAAUUAAGGCACUUUUACCUUACAGAAAUACUUUUAAACCAUGAGAGAGCAUUUUACCCUGUCUGAAAUAUUUAAUUUACUCCCUUAACGUGUAACAUUAUCGCGAUUUUAACGAAAUUAACUUGCACGGCUUCGGAGAAAAUCUGACGAAGAGAAAGAGAUUUGGCAACGCCGCGUCGAGGUAUUCUCCUCGUCGACUUCAAGGAAGCCGUUAGGAGGAAUUCGGCGUCGGAUGCAUUUUUGGGUGGUUUACAACGUUUACAAUUCGGGAAACUCGCCAGAAACAUCGACGGUCGUUUAAACUGUGAGGCUAUGGACGUAAAUUAACGACGCCCAGGCACGUUUCUGUAAAUUGUAACGAAUUCAUACGUGCGGGAGGUACCUUGCUUUCGGAUGCUCGAUAUGUAUCUUUAAAACUGUUUUCCAAAAGUUUAGGGAAACCCGAAACGUUCGAUGCGUUUCACAGGACAAAACGUCAUUGAGUCAUGCUUUGAAACAUUGACAUUGCGAUAAGACACGACCCCGAAUCGUUGAACUACGUUACAAGAGAACGAUCUUGAUACUCGAGCCGGAUUAAACCGAGCUGACCUCUGAUUAAUUUCGAUCGUUCAAUAACGUUAAUUUAUAUUUUCAAUAGCAUUCUAGCUUCAAGAUGAUUGUACGUAUUGAAAUUAGAUGUAUCUUUGUCGGCCGUGCCCCGUAUCGAUUGCCUUUAUUGCGCAUCCCAGAAAAUGUUCUGGAACCAGAGAUGGCGGUUUAAAAUCAAUACGAAGCGUAUAAACAUAUCUGGGUGGUUAACUGGCCCUGAAAAAAGCAUCCACGAUGUCUCUAUUAUGCGCCGGGAUAAUGUAACGGCUGGUAACGUCUUCGGCUUGCAAAUUAGCUCGACUGGAUUUGAUAUAAUGUAACGUGAACGCCUGCAGGAAGAGAAGGGGAAUAAAGGAGACCGUGCGAAGGUCUGGGUAUCGAAGAAAUGGCGGAACCGUUAGGCUUUAUCGAUUGACCUUCCAGGUUCAGCUAAAUGCGAUUUCGAGAAGCCUAUAUUCAUCAGGGACUACAUUUAUGACCUAUUCUAUUCAAUCCCGGAGCCCCCUUUUGUGCUCAUUUUUCGAAAUUACCAGUCUUUACCAGCAUUUUAGAAUUUAUUUACUAAAGUUUAUAGAUGUCUAAAUAAAAUAUUCAGAGCUGUAGGGUAACACUGCGAUUGAUAUAAAAACAAU
rnacentral:lncRNA from 1 species